AAAUGCGGGAUUGAACCCUGCCCCGGAGCGGGCUGGAUCGGAGGCCCAACCCUGACCCGAGUCAGGACCCGCAGCCAGAGCCAGAUCCUGCCCCAGGCCGGCCCACCAGGACUCGGACGCCGGAUCCCGCCUGAACCCUGACCAGUCCGACCCUCGACUGGGUCCCAACCGUGGCCCGGACUGGCCCCAGAGUCGGACCCCGC
rnacentral:lncRNA from 10 species